UACAUUUCUCCUCUUUGCAUAGGGAGACUGCUGCUGCUCUGUGUUUUCCAUGGUAGACAAGAAGCUAAAGUAUAACAAGAAGUCUGAAAAUGCAAAUAACUUCCACUCAUUGAC